AUUGAACGCUGGCGGCAGGCUUAACACAUGCAAGUCGAGCGGAGCGAGGGUGCUUGCACCUUAGCUUAGCGGCGGACGGGUGAGUAAUGCUUAGGAAUCUGCCUAUUAGUGGGGGACAACAUUCCGAAAGGGAUGCUAAUACCGCAUACGCCCUACGGGGGAAAGCAGGGGAUCUUCGGACCUUGCGCUAAUAGAUGAGCCUAAGUCGGAUUAGCUAGUUGGUGGGGUAAAGGCCUACCAAGGCGACGAUCUGUAGCGGGUCUGAGAGGAUGAUCCGCCACACUGGGACUGAGACACGGCCCAGACUCCUACGGGAGGCAGCAGUGGGGAAUAUUGGACAAUGGGCGGAAGCCUGAUCCAGCCAUGCCGCGUGUGUGAAGAAGGCCUUUUGGUUUGUAAAGCACUUUAAGCGAGGAGGAGGCUACUAGUAUUAAUACUACUGGAUAGUGGACGUUACUCGCAGAAUAAGCACCGGCUAACUCUGUGCCAGCCGCCGCGGUAACAC
rnacentral:rRNA from 1 species